GGGGUCGUAGGGUAGCCUGGUCCAUCCUACCAGCUUGGGGUGCUGGUGACCUGGGUUCAAAUCCCGGCGACCCCA
rnacentral:tRNA from 1 species